rnacentral:lncRNA from 1 species
AUGUCUCAGGCUGAGUUUGAGAGAGCUGUGGAAGACGUUAAACACCUUAAGACCAAGCCAGGGGAUGAUGAGAUGUGUUCCUCUAUGGCCACUACAAACAAGCAACUGUGGGCGACAUAAAUACAGAAUGGCCUGGGAUGUUGGAUUUCAAAGGCAAGACCAAGUGGGAUGCCUGGAAUGAGCUGAAAGGGACUACCAAGGAAGAUGCCAUGAAAGCUUACGUCAACAAUGUAGAAGAGCUAAGGAAAAAACAUGGAAUG